AGUUUGAUCMUGGCUCAGAUUGAACGCUGGCGGCAUGCCUUACACAUGCAAGUCGAACGGUAACAGGUCUUCGGAUGCUGACGAGUGGCGAACGGGUGAGUAAUACAUCGGAACGUGCCCGAUCGUGGGGGAUAACGAGGCGAAAGCUUUGCUAAUACCGCAUACGAUCUACGGRUGAAAGCGGGGGAUCUUCGGACCUCGCGCGGACGGAGCGGCCGAUGGCAGAUUAGGUAGUUGGUGGGAUAAAAGCUUACCAAGCCGACGAUCUGUAGCUGGUCUGAGAGGAUGAUCAGCCACACUGGGACUGAGACACGGCCCAGACUCCUACGGGAGGCAGCAGUGGGGAAUUUUGGACAAUGGGCGAAAGCCUGAUCCAGCCAUGCCGCGUGCAGGAUGAAGGCCUUCGGGUUGUAAACUGCUUUUGUACGGAACGAAAAGCCUCUUUCUAAUAAAGAGGGGUCAUGACGGUACCGUAAGAAUAAGCACCGGCUAACUACGUGCCAGCAGCCGCGGUAAUACGUAGGGUGCAAGCGUUAAUCGGAAUUACUGGGCGUAAAGCGUGCGCAGGCGGUUUUGUAAGACAGAGGUGAAAUCCCCGGGCUCAACCUGGGAACUGCCUUUGUGACUGCAAGGCUGGAGUGCGGCAGAGGGGGAUGGAAUUCCGCGUGUAGCAGUGAAAUGCGUAGAUAUGCGGAGGAACACCGAUGGCGAAGGCAAUCCCCUGGGCCUGCACUGACGCUCAUGCACGAAAGCGUGGGGAGCAAACAGGAUUAGAUACCCYGGUAGU
rnacentral:rRNA from 1 species